rnacentral:rRNA from 1 species
CUCCUAUCUACUAUCUAGCGAAACCACAGCCAAGGGAACGGGCUUGGGGACAUCAGCGGGGAAAGAAGACCCUGUUGAGCUUGACUCUAGUCUGGCACGGUGAGGAGACAUGAGAGGUGUAGGAUAAGUGGGAGCUGCCGUCACGUUUCGGAGCCGCUGCGGUCGGGGACGUCCUCGCGGCGUCCCCUCCGUCGCGCUUCGGCGUUGGCGGGCGAAGGUGAAAUACCACUACUUUCAUCGUUUCUUCACUUACUCGGUGAAGCGGAAAGCGUCUUCGCUUCCCCGCGAGGGGAGGUCUCGUAAGACGGAGUUCGAGCGCCAAGGCGACCGAGACGAUUGGGUUCUCGACCGACCUCUUUCUCUCCGGUGUCUCGCCGCGCCCGCUUCCGGCGGGCGUCGCGGGGGCUCGAGGCCAGAGGCGGUCGCCGAUCCGCGUCGAGGACACUGCCAGGCGGGGAGUUUGACUGGGGCGGUACAUCUGUCAAAGAAUAACGCAGGUGUCCUAAGGCCAGCUCGGCGAGGACAGAAACCUCGCGUGGAGCAAAAGGGCAAAAGCUGGCUUGAUCCCGAUGUUCAGUACGCACGGGGACUGCGAAAGCACGGCCUAUCGAUCCUUUUGGAGUGGAGAGUUUCCAGCAAGAGGUGUCAGAAAAGUUACCACAGGGAUAAC